GACGAACGCUGGCGGCGUGCCUAAUACAUGCAAGUAGAACGCUGAAGGAGGAGCUUGCUUCUCUGGAUGAGUUGCGAACGGGUGAGUAACGCGUAGGUAACCUGCCUGGUAGCGGGGGAUAACUAUUGGAAACGAUAGCUAAUACCGCAUAAUAGCAGUUGUUGCAUGAUAACUGUUUGAAAGGUGCAAUUGCACCACUACCAGAUGGACCUGCGUUGUAUUAGCUAGUUGGUGGGGUAACGGCUCACCAAGGCGACGAUACAUAGCCGACCUGAGAGGGUGAUCGGCCACACUGGGACUGAGACACGGCCCAGACUCCUACGGGAGGCAGCAGUAGGGAAUCUUCGGCAAUGGACGGAAGUCUGACCGAGCAACGCCGCGUGAGUGAAGAAGGUUUUCGGAUCGUAAAGCUCUGUCGUAAGAGAAGAACGAGUGUGAGAGUGGAAAGUUCACACUGUGACGGUAUCUUACCAGAAAGGGACGGCUAACUACGUG
rnacentral:rRNA from 1 species